rnacentral:rRNA from 1 species
UGGGGAAUAUUGGACAAUGGGCGAAAGCCUGAUCCAGCAAUGCCGCGUGAGUGAUGAAGGCCUUAGGGUUGUAAAGCUCUUUUACCCGGGAUGAUAAUGACAGUACCGGGAGAAUAAGCUCCGGCUAACUUCGUGCCAGCAGCCGCGGUAAUACGAGGGGGACUAGCGUUGUUCGGAAUUACUGGGCGUAAAGCGCGCGUAGGCGGUUUUUUAAGUCAGAGGUGAAAGCCCGGGGCUCAACCCCGGAAUAGUCUUUGAAACUGGAAAACUAGAAUCUUGGAGAGGUCAGUGGAAUUCCGAGUGUAGAGGUGAAAUUCGUAGAUAUUCGGAAGAACACCAGUGGCGAAGGCGACUGACUGGACAAGUAUUGACGCUGAGGUGCGAAACGUGGGGAGCAAACAGGAUUAGAUACCCUGGUAGUCCACGCCGUAAACGAUGAUAACUAGCUGUCCGGGCUCAUAGAGCUUGGGUGGCGCAGCUAACGCAUUAAGUUAUCCGCCUGGGGAGUACGGUCGCAAGAUUAAAACUCAAAUGAA